rnacentral:rRNA from 1 species
GACGAACGCUGGCGGCGUGCCUAAUACAUGCAAGUUGAGCGAUGAAGAUUGGUGCUUGCACCAAUUUGAAGAGCAGCGAACGGGUGAGUAACGCGUGGGGAAUCUGCCUUUGAGCGGGGGACAACAUUUGGAAACGAAUGCUAAUACCGCAUAACAACUUUAAACAUAAGUUUUAAGUUUGAAAGAUGCAAUUGCAUCACUCAAAGAUGAUCCCGCGUUGUAUUAGCUAGUUGGUGAGGUAAAGGCUCACCAAGGCGAUGAUACAUAGCCGACCUGAGAGGGUGAUCAGCCACAUUGGGACUGAGACACGGCCCAAACCCCUACGGGAGGCAGCAAUAGGGAAUCUUCGGCAAUGGACGAAAGUCUGACCGAACAACGCCGCGUGAGUGAAGAAGGUUUUCGGAUCGUAAAACUCUGUUGGUAGAGAAGAACGUUGGUGAGAGUGGAAAGCUCAUCAAGUGACGGUAACUACCCAGAAAGGGACGGCUAACUACGUG